rnacentral:rRNA from 1 species
AAUAUUGCGCAAUGGGCGAAAGCCUGACGCCGCGACGGCGCGAGAGUGAAGAAGGCCUUCGGGCUGUAAAACUCUGUCCUCAGGGAAAAAAAUUUGACGGUACCUGAGGAGGAAGCCCCGGCUAACUACGUGCCAACAGCAGCGGUAAUAUGUAGGGGGCGAGCGUUGUCCGGAAUUACUGUGCGUAAAGGGUACGUAGGCGGCUAUAUAAGUCAGGUGUGAAAUACCAGUGCUUAACACUGGAAUUGCAUUUGAAACUGUGUAGCUUGAGUGCAGGAGAGGAAAGUGGAAUUCCUAGUGUAGCGGUGAAAUGCGUAGAGAUUAGGAGGAACACCAGUGGCGAAGGCGACUUUCUGGACUGUAACUGACGCUGAGGUACGAAAGCGUGGGUAGCGAACA